UGCGUAGGUGGGCAGGUAAGUCCGCGGUGAAAUCCCCGAGCUUAACUUGGGAACUGCCGUUGAUACUAUCUGUCUUGAAUAUCGUGGAGGUAAGCGGAAUAUGUCAUGUAGCGGUGAAAUGCUUAGAGAUGACAUAGAACACCAAUUGCGAAGGCAGCUUGCUACACGAUAAUUAACACUGAGGCACGAAAGCGUGGGGAGCAAACAGGAUUAGAUACCCUGGUAGUCC
rnacentral:rRNA from 1 species